CCCUUAGAUGUCCUGGGCUGCACGCGCGCUACACUGGAAGUUACGGAUUGAGAUACUACCUUGUCCGAAAUGGUCCGGGUAAUCACCUAAAAGCUUGUCAUAAUUGGAAUGGAUUAUUGUAACUAGUAAUCCUGAACGAGGAAUUCCUAGUAAGUCCCAGUCAACAGCUGGUACUGAUUACGUCCCUGCCCUUUGUACACACCGCCCGUCGCUACUACUGAUUGGACGUUUAAGCAAGAUUUUUAAACACUGACAGUGUGUAGUUCACGCUAUACUACAGUGAGAAGAAGAAGAUCGAGCUUACUUGUCUAGAGGAAGUAAAGGUCGUAACA
rnacentral:rRNA from 1 species